rnacentral:lncRNA from 10 species
GGCUGGAGUGUAGUGGCGCGAUCUUGGGCUCACUGCAAGCUCCGCCUCCCAGGUUCAUGCCAUUCUUCCUGCCUCAGCCUCCCGAGUAGCUGGGACUACAGGCGCCCGCCACUUCUGCACCCAAUGCAGGGGUCACGUUUCAUUCAUCUCUGAGACACCAGAUCUGGCACAUAGAUGCAUUAGGCUUUCUGUAAACGUUUACCCAAUAAAUAAAACAGCAAAGAAUGCACCCCUCAAAAAAUAAGUUGGGACAUCUCUGCCACCCCCUCAGUCCCCAGGGGGCAUCUGAGCCACCUCCACCCUGUGCCUUUCUGUGUUCUGGGAUUUUCACCAGCUGCGCUUCCUGUGACCUUGGUAGCAAUAAGAUUCUACAGUGGAAUCGGAGCUUUCUCUAAGACAACUGGUCCCAUAUUCUGUGUCAUAAAGUCUUCAUUCGAGCUAUUCCUUGUCACCCAGGCAACAUUCAUUUGGCAGAUAGUGACUGAGCACAACCAGGAAUCAGGCACUGCGCUAGGUGCUUGGGAUACAUCUGUGACCAACACAAAGUUCCCCACCCCGGGGGAGCUCUAUGUGGCCCAGAAUCUGGAUCUCUGCCCCCAACCCCCAUCCUCAAGGCAGAGUCCCAGAGACGUCCUAAAUCUCACACAGGCUGAGUUGUGCUUAAUCCAUUUCUGCAGACACAGCUCAUGUACAAAUGGGCCAAGCCGAAAAUCUGUAGCGAAGACCUUGAGGGGGCGGUGAAGCUGCCUGCCUCUGGUGUGAAGACCAGCUGCCCACCCUGCAACCCAGGCUUCUUCAAAACCAGUAACAGCACCUGCCAGCCCUGCCCAUACGGUUCCUACUCCAAUGGCUCAGAUUGUACCCACUGCCCUGCGGGGACUGAACCUGCUGUGGGAUUUGAAUACAAAUGGUGGAACACGCUGCCCACAAACAUGGAAACGACCGUUCUCAGUGGGAUCAACUUCGAGUACAAGGGCAUGACAGGCUGGGAGGUGGCUGGUGAUCACAUUUACACAGUUGCUGGAGCCUCAGACAAUGACUUCAUGAUUCUCACUCUGGUUGUGCCGGGAUUUAGACCUCCACAGUCGGUGAUGGUAGACACAGAGAAUAAAGAGGUGGCCAGAAUCACAUUUGUCUUUGAGACCCUCUGUUCUGUGAACUGUGAGCUCUACUUCAUGGUGGGUGUGAAUUCUAGGACCAACACUCCCGUGGAGACGUGGAAAGGUUCCAAAGGCAAACAGUCCUAUACCUACAUCAUUGAGGAGAACACGACCACGAGCUUCACCUGGGCCUUCCAGAGGACCACUUUUCAUGAGGCAAGCAGGAAGUACACCAAUGACGUUGCCAAGAUCUACUCCAUCAAUGUCACCAAUGUUAUGAAUGGCGUGGCCUCCUACUGCCGUCCCUGUGCUCUAGAAGCCUCUGAUGUGGGCUCCUCCUGCACCUCUUGUCCUGCUGGUUACUAUAUUGAGCGAGAUUCAGGAACCUGCCACUCCUGCCCCCCUAACACCAUUCUGAAAGCCCACCAGCCUUACGGCGUCCAGGCCUGUGUGCCCUGCGGUCCAGGGACCAAGAACAACAAGAUCCACUCUCUGUGCUACAACGAUUGCAUCUUCUCACGCAACACUCCGACCAGGACUUUCAACUACAACUUCUCCGCUUUGGCAAACACUGUCACUCUUGCUGGAGGGCCAAGCUUCACUUCCAAAGGGCUGAAAUACUUCCAUCACUUUACCCUUAGUCUCUGUGGAAACCAGGGUCGGAAAAUGUCUGUGUGCACCGACAAUGUCACUGACCUCCGGAUUCCUGAGGGUGAGUCAGGGUUCUCCAAAUCUAUCACAGCCUACGUCUGCCAGGCAGUCAUCAUCCCCCCAGAGGUGACAGGCUACAAGGCCGGGGUUUCCUCACAGCCUGUCAGCCUUGCUGACCGACUUAUUGGUCCAAUGAUGUGACCCAGUCCUGCAGUUCUGGGAGAUCAACCACCAUCCGUGUCAGGUGCAGUCCACAGAAAACUGUCCCUGGAAGUUUGUCGCUGCCAGGGUAAGCCCUGCAAAGGGGUGUGACGAAGGCCAAAAUCUCCCUUCCUUGAAGUCAUUCCAUCCUGAGAUCCAGAGAUUAGUGAAAAGGAGAAAAAAGAAAAGAGUUUGAGAUCCAUUAAUGGGCUCUUAGGGGCAGAGUCAUGGCCCCAGACCCUCAAUCUUCAUAUGGCAAGAAUGGGGUAGAAGGAAGAGUGAAAGCUGCUCUCAUAUUCCUGGUCCAUUAUGGUGGCAGCUGCAUAGCAUUGUAACCAACAGCUCGGCUGAGAGCCAGAUUGAAUCAUCUCCUCCACUAACUAGCUAUGCUAUCAUGGCUACGUUUCUUACCGUCUUUAGGCCUCUCGUUUCCUUAUCUGUAAAAAUGGGCAUAAUGCUAAAUUCCCUCAGCGGGUUGUUUUGAGGAUGAAAUGAGACAAGGAGACUUUAGGACGUUUCAUGAUCUCUGGCUAUUAUGAGGAUUAAUAAAGGUUUAGGGAUCCUAGGAAUCUCUCUGCAAUGAAAAUACCCAGUUCUGAGUUUAAUAGCUGAGUGAACUAAAUCAGAAAUUUCCAAAUGAAUAUGACCACAGGACACCCCCCUCCCCUCCCCGCAUAACAGCAACUAACAUCUUGACGGGCACUGGCGUCUCGAGGAAGACAUUUUGGAUAUGCUGCGCCUAAACAACUGACUGGGGAGAUGGGGAGCAAAGCAGGGCGUCUUGACCCAGUAGUGGUGUCUGAGUGUCAAAUCCCUGUUCUUGCCGUUGUAAACAUCACAAUAAAGUACAUAACGGGUAUCCAUGACCGGAAGCUCAUUCCUGAACCCCACCUCAACUCCAAUCCCAUCACCAGGAAGCUGCAUCAAAGUGGCUAUUGCAAAUGUCACAAGUCUGUGGGGAGGACGGGAACCUCAAAGAGGUUGGUGGGACAGCCGUGCUAGAGCUCAGACGCCUUACAAUAGCUCUCAUACGAUGUCAGCAAAAACAUAAACGGGCAGAGGGUGGAGAGCCCAUUGGAGGCCAGGAAGGCCUCUUAUCAGUGAAAUCAGAGAUGAAAACCUGUGUUAAGGACUAGUUGGAAGGAUCCUGGUAGGGCUAACGGUUUGGGCAGGGAGAGGGUGAAUCAGGCAAGCUAUGAGACAACAGGCCCCCAACCAGAUCUUCCCCACCAGUCCAGCCAGUGAGAGCUCAGGCCUCUUUUCUGCUUUGCUAGAACGUGCUCGGAUGGGACCUGUGAUGGCUGCAACUUCCACUUCCUGUGGGAGAGUGCGGCUGCUUGCCCGCUCUGCUCAGUGGCUGACUACCAUGCUAUCGUCAGCAGCUGUGUGGCUGGGAUCCAG